GAGCCCGUGGCUCAAUGGUAGAGCGUUCGACUCAAAUACCAAUCGUCGCGGGUUCGAAUCCCAGGUUUG
rnacentral:tRNA from 1 species